rnacentral:lncRNA from 1 species
AUGGAUGGCAGCGACAGUACCACCGUCGCUUCACUCCCUGUAGACAUCGUCUUGGCAGCCCCUUGCCAAAACCUCCCAAGCAAUUGGUACAUGCUCGCUCUAGAUCGGUGGUCGGCUCUGGCCACGCUUAGCGGCGGCCGGUCCGGUGCUAGCCUUAUUCUAGGUCUGUGUAUUGACGUUGUCGGUGCGUGGGCGGUGGUUAAUUUUUUCGUUUUCCCGGUUACGACCUUCCAGGGUCGUAAUCAUGUAUUUUUUUUCUGCUCUAUCAGUUUGAACUUCACUGUCUUUGGUGCGAGUCGUUAAAAAAAUUCUA